AGAGUUUGAUCCUGGCUCAGGAUGAACGCUGGCGGCGUGCUUAACACAUGCAAGUCGAGCGAAGCACCUUGACGGAUUUCUUCGGAUUGAAGCCUUGGUGACUGAGCGGCGGACGGGUGAGUAACGCGUGGGUAACCUGCCUCAUACAGGGGGAUAACAGUUGGAAACGGCUGCUAAUACCGCAUAAGCGCACAGUACCGCAUGGUACGGUGUGAAAAACUCCGGUGGUAUGAGAUGGACCCGCGUCUGAUUAGGUAGUUGGUGGGGUAACGGCCUACCAAGCCGACGAUCAGUAGCCGACCUGAGAGGGUGACCGGCCACAUUGGGACUGAGACACGGCCCAAACUCCUACGGGAGGCAGCAGUGGGGAAUAUUGCACAAUGGGGGAAACCCUGAUGCAGCGACGCCGCGUGAGCGAUGAAGUAUUUCGGUAUGUAAAGCUCUAUCAGCAGGGAAGAAAAUGACGGUACCUGACUAAGAAGCCCCGGCUAACUACGUGCCAGCAGCCGCGGUAAUACGUAGGGGGCAAGCGUUAUCCGGAUUUACUGGGUGUAAAGGGAGCGUAGACGGCAUGGCAAGCCAGAUGUGAAAGCCCGGGGCUCAACCCCGGGACUGCAUUUGGAACUGUCAGGCUAGAGUGUCGGAGAGGAAAGCGGAAUUCCUAGUGUAGCGGUGAAAUGCGUAGAUAUUAGGAGGAACACCAGUGGCGAAGGCGGCUUUCUGGACGAUGACUGACGUUGAGGCUCGAAAGCGUGGGGAGCAAACAGGAUUAGAUACCCUGGUAGUCCACGCCGUAAACGAUGAGUGCUAGGUGUUGGAUCCUUUCCGGGAUUCAGUGCCGCAGCUAACGCAUUAAGCACUCCGCCUGGGGAGUACGACCGCAAGGUUGAAAC
rnacentral:rRNA from 1 species